rnacentral:tRNA from 1 species
GCCGAGGUGGUGGAAUUGGUAGACACGCUACCUUGAGGUGGUAGUGCCCAAAUUGGGCUUACGGGUUCAAGUCCCGUCCUCGGUA